AGGGAGUGGCGGACGGGUGAGGAACACGUAGGAAUCUACCUCAGGAGAGCGGGACAACCUUGGGGAAACCGGGGCUAAUACCGUAUAGUACAGAGAUGUUAAAGGGCUAGCAAUAGUCGCUUUGAGAUGAGCCUGCGGUCUAUCAGCUAGGUUGGCGGGGUAAUGGCCCACCAAGGCAACGACGGAUAGCCGGUCUGAGAGGAUGAUCGGCCACACUGGCACUGAGACACGGGCCAGACUCCUACGGGAGGCAGCAGUUAAGAAUCUUGCGCAAUGGACGAAAGUCUGACGCAGCGACGCCGCGUGAAGGAUGAAGGCUUUCGGGGUUGUAAACUUCGGUAGACUGGGAAGAAAAAGUAAGUUCGUUGAGGGGCUUACAUUGACGGUACCAGUCUGAAGCCCCGGCUAAUUACGUGCCAGCAGCCGCGGUAAUACGUAUGGG
rnacentral:rRNA from 1 species